GUGUGUGUGUGUGUGUGUGUGUGUGUGUGUGUGUGUGUGUGCCGGUUUUUAAGGCGACUGCCGGCAACUUGAAAGUCGUCGACAGUCACCUGAAAAAUAGCCUAAGUGGGACAGGCCCAUUAAAAAAAUAUAUCCACUGUUGGCCUCCACAGCCUUCUGUGGCAAAGAGUUCCACAGAUUCACCACAAUCUGACUAAAGAAAUUUCUGCUCAUCUCCUACCUAAAAGAGCGUCCUUUAAUUCCAAGGCUAUGACCUUUAGUCCUAGACUCCCCCACUAGUGGAGAUAUCCUCUCCACAUCCAUUGUUCACCAUUCUGUAUGUUCCAAUGAGGUGCCCCCACUUUCUUCUAAACUCCAGCGAGUACAGGCCAUAGCCGACAAAUGUUCAUCAUUUCUUAACUCAUUCUUUCCUUGGACCAUUCCCCUGGACAACAUAUCCUUCCUCAGAUAUGGUGCCCAAAAUUGUUCAUAAUAUUCUAAAUGCGGCCUUACCAGUGCCUUAUCUUCUUUGCUGCAGAUUCUAGUGUCUGCCGUCUUGUGGGCCUUCAAAAAUAUAUUGGCUCUUCUUGCUCCUUCCACUGUUUUUGCUUGACCUACAUAUGUUCCUAAUGGAUGACUUCACAGAGCCUUGGGCCAGGCCAGAUGCUUCUCAUUCCUACUGAGCAGUAACGGGCCAGGAAUUCCCAUGAGCCGGGGAGAAUAUUACAGUUUUUUCAAAAAAGCUUUGAAGAUUCCCAGAAGCAUUUUCUCUGUCAUGAUGAAAAUCUUCUGCCAUGACAGAGUUUGGAGCAAUGUGCUUGUUUAAUGAUGAGCAGUGUUUAAGAGUAAAAUGUAUUUCUCCUUCAGAUUCUGGAAUUAUGGUCUUUGACUCUCGAUUGAAAUUUUGCUGUUUAUCUGGGAAGAUGUCGCAGAUUCCCUGUGGAGGGUAUUACAUGAGAAAACACAUCAAGUUCAAGAAAAUCAACAUGAAAAGACUAUGGAAAGUUUGUUGGCAUUGCUGUGAGCAAGAAGAAAAACUAUAUAUCCCAUUUGCAGAAUUCCCAUCCAUCACUGAGACAAGCAAGAGAAAAUAUCCUGCUUUUGUUCUGUAAGUGACUCUUUUGCUUUUGCACUUUCUAUAAUUUGCUAUACUUUAAAUUUCUAUGUAUUGCCAUUAAUAAAUCCCCUGUUCCCUGAUUGCCCUUUUUGAUAAGCCUUGAUCAGGAAACAAAUGAAUGAGUCCCAGAGCAAUGCAACUUUGAUUUCACAAUAGUUUAGUAUAUUUCUUUAAAUUAUAGGAUUUAAAUGAAUAUUGAAAUUCGGGAGCUUCCUCUGCAAAGGAUUUCCUAAAUAGGUUGGCAAUGUGGUGCAAUGCUAGAGUUGCUGCCCUACAGCGCCAGAGACCCGGGAUCGAUCCUGACUAUGGGUGCAGUCUGUACCGAGUUUGUACAUUCGCGCCGUGGCCUGCAUGGGUUUUUUCCGGGAUCUCCGGUUUCCACCCACACAAUGUACAAGUUUGUAGGUUAAUUGGCUUGCUAUAAGGGGGGACCUGAUAGAGGUCUUUAAAAUGAUGAGAGGGAUGGACAGAGUUGAUGUGGACAAGCUUUUCCCUUUGAGAAUAGGGAAGAUUCAAACAAGAGGACAUGACUUCAGAAUUAAGGGACAGAAGUUUAGGGGUAAUAUGAGGGGGAACUUCUUUACGCAGAGAGUGGUAGCGGUGUGGAAUGAGCUCCCAGUAGAAGUGGUGGAGGCAGGUUCAUUGGUAUCAUUUAAAAAUAAAUUGGAUAGGCAUAUGGAUGAGAAGGGAAUGGAGGGUUAUGGUAUGAGUGCAGGCAGGUGGGACUAAGGGGAAAAAAAAUUGUUCGGCACGGACUUGUAAGGCCGAGAUGGCCUGUUUCCGUGCUGUAAUUGUUAUAUGGUUAUAUGGUUAUAAGUGUAAAUUGUCACUAUUGUGUGUAGGAUAGUGUAAGUGUGUGGGAAUCACUGUCUCGAUGGGCCGAAGAGCCUGUUUCCAUG